rnacentral:rRNA from 1 species
UACGUAGGGGGCAAGCGUUGUCCGGAUUUAUUGGGCGUAAAGAGCGUGUAGGCGGUCUGGUGGGUCUGUUGUGAAAACUCGAGGCUCAACCUCGAGACGCCGAUGGAAACCAUCUGACUAGAGUCCGGAAGAGGAGAGUGGAAUUCCUGGUGUAGCGGUGAAAUGCGCAGAUAUCAGGAAGAACACCCGUGGCUAAGGCGGCUCUCUAGUCCGGUACUGACGCUGAGACGCGAAAGCGUGGGGAGCGAACAGG